AUACGGAGGAUGCGAGCGUUAUCCGGAUUUAUUGGGUUUAAAGGGUGCGUAGGCUGUGCGUUAAGUCAGGGGUGAAAUGCCGUCGCUCAACGACGGAGCUGCCCUUGAUACUGGCGUGCUGGAGUACGGAUGCCGUUGGAGGAAUGAGUGGUGUAGCGGUGAAAUGCUUAGAUAUCACUCAGAACACCGAUUGCGAAGGCAUCUGACGAAUCCGUCACUGACUCUGAGGCACGAAAGCGUGGGGAUAGAACAGGAUUAGAUACCCUGGUAUUCCACGCCGUAAACGAUGAUAACUAACCGCUGGUGCGCAAGUAUCAGUGGCCAAGCGAAAGCGAUAAGUUAUCCACCUGGGGAGUACGACCGCAAGGUUGAAACUCAAAGGAAUUGACGGGG
rnacentral:rRNA from 1 species